rnacentral:rRNA from 1 species
AUUGAACGCUGGCAGCAGGCUUAACACAUGCAAGUCGAGCGGGGUGAUGGUGCUUGCACUAUCACUUAGCGGCGGACGGGUGAGUAAUGCUUAGGAAUCUGGCUAUUAGUGGGGGACAACAUCUCGAAAGGGAUGCUAAUACCGCAUACGUCCUACGGGAGAAAGCAGGGGAUCCCUUGUGACCUUGCGCUAAUAGAAGAGCCUAAGUGGGAUUAGCUAGUUGGUGGGGGAAAGGCCUACCAAGGCGACGAACUCUAGCGGGUCUGAGAGGAUGUACCGACACACUGGGACUGGGAACCGGCCCAGUCACCUACGGGAGGCAUCAGGGGGGAAUGUUUGACAAUGGGAGGAACUCUGAACCAGCCAUGCCGCGUGUGUGAAGGAGGCCUUAAGGUUGUAAAGCACUUUAAUCGAUGAAGAGGCUCUUUUGGUUAAUACCCAAGAUGAGUGGACGUUACUCGCAGAAUAAGCACCGGCUAACUCUGUGCCAGCCGCCGCCGUAA